rnacentral:misc_RNA from 1 species
CGGGCAGCGACGACGUCCCGAUCAAGCCCCUUCAGUUGUUGGAUCAAGCGCACAACGCCUUGGCCGACGUCGGUUUCCUGUGCUGAAUUCCUAACGGAUGGCAAUCUCUCGUCCACCAACGUCCCUUGCUCCUCCUCUCGCCGCGCAUCCGAAAGGAGACGCGGCGCGGGGAGGACAUCAAAGCCCCCGUCGUGUUUCGCAGCCCGCUCUCCCGCUAGCUCGGGAGAUCCAGGGCUUUCGACCCACGACGUCGUGCUCGAUCUCUCGGAUGCGGAACACCAAGCGGCCACGAGGCCUCGGCCUCGGAUGCCCAAUAACAAGAGCGUCCAACGCUCCCUGCGGACGACUGCCGCUCGGGUCUUGGAUGGGAGCCCCAGUGGCUCCCGGAUCAUGCCCGGGCGGCGUCGACGAGGAAUGCUACCUGGUUGAUCCUGCCAGUAGUCAU